CGUGUAGGCGGUCUUUUAAGUCUGAUGUGAAAGCCCCGGGCUCAACCUGGGAAGUGCAUUGGAAACUGGGAGGCUUGAGUACGGGAGAGGAGAGUGGAAUUCCUAGUGUAGGAGUGAAAUCCGUAGAUAUUCGCAAGAACACCAGUGGCGAAGGCGGCUCACUGGCCCGAUACUGACGCUGAGGCACGAAAGCGUGGGGAGCAAACA
rnacentral:rRNA from 1 species